rnacentral:rRNA from 1 species
CACUCUAAUGAGACUGCCGGUGACAAACCGGAGGAAGGUGGGGAUGACGUCAAGUCCUCAUGGCCCUUAUAGGUGGGGCUACACACGUCAUACAAUGGCUGGUACAAAGGGUUGCCAACCCGCGAGGGGGAGCCAAUCCCAUAAAGCCAGUCGUAGUCCGGAUCGCAGUCUGCAACUCGACUGCGUGAAGUCGGAAUCGCUAGUAAUCGUGGAUCAGCAUGUCACGGUGAAUACGUUCCCGGGUCUU